GUCUAUAGCCAUGACCCCUGAACAUGCCCGAUGUCUCUGAUCUCGGAAGCUAAGCAGGGUUGGACCUGGUUAGUACUUGAAUGGGAGACCACCUAGGAAUAUCAAGUGCUAUAGGCG
rnacentral:rRNA from 1 species